rnacentral:rRNA from 1 species
AGCAGCCGCGGUAAUUCCAGCUCCAAUAGCGUAUAUUAAAGUUGUUGCAGUUAAAAAGCUCGUAGUUGAAUUUCGGGAUCAGUACGCUGGUCGUGCCUCCGGUAUGCACUGGUGUCACUGAUUCCUCCUUCCUGAUGAACCGUAAUGCCAUUAAUUUGGUGUUGCGGGGAGACUGGACUGUUACUUUGAAAAAAUUAGAGUGUUUAAAGCAGGCUAACGCUUGAAUACAUUAGCAUGGAAUAAUGAAAUAGGACGUUCGAUUCCUAUUUUGUUGGUUUCUAGGAUUGACGUAAUGAUUAAUAGGGAUAGUUGGGGCAUUAGUAUUCAAUUGUCAGAGGUGAAAUUCUUGGAUUUAUUGAAGACUAACUACUGCGAAAGCAUUUGCCAAGGUAUGUUUUCAUUAAUCAAGGACGAAAGUUAGGGAUCGAAGACGAUCAGAUACCGUCGUAGUCUUAACCAUAAACUAUGCCGACUAGGGAUCGGGAUGAUUGUUAAUUUUUAUGUACUCAUUCGGUACG